AGCUUUGUGCAGUGGCAGUGUUGUAGUCAAUGAGGUUUAUCUGAGGCACAAUUUUUGCUAAUUAAAAGA
rnacentral:snRNA from 1 species